rnacentral:rRNA from 1 species
AUUGAACGCUGGCGGCAGGCUUAACACAUGCAAGUCGAGCGGAGAUGAGGUGCUUGCACCUUAUCUUAGCGGCGGACGGGUGAGUAAUGCUUAGGAAUCUGCCUAUUAGUGGGGGACAACAUUCCGAAAGGAAUGCUAAUACCGCAUACGCCCUACGGGGGAAAGCAGGGGAUCUUCGGACCUUGCGCUAAUAGAUGAGCCUAAGUCGGAUUAGCUAGUUGGUGGGGUAGAGGCCUACCAAGGCAACGAUCUGUAGCGGGUCUGAGAGGAGUAUCCGCCACACUGGGACUGAGACACGGCCCAGACUCCUACGGGAGGCAGCAGUGGGGAAUAUUGGACAAUGGGCGGAAGCCUGAUCCAGCCAUGCCGCGUGUGUGAAGAAGGCCUUUUGGUUGUAAAGCACUUUAAGCGAGGAGGAGGCUACCUGGAUUAAUACUCUAGGAUAGUGGACGUUACUCGCAGAAUAAGCACCGGCUAACUCUGUGCCAGCCGCCGCCGUAAAAC